rnacentral:snRNA from 1 species
AAGUUAGUAACUCAUAAGAUCGUG